rnacentral:lncRNA from 1 species
AUCACCCUUUUUUUUAUUUUCUAUUUCAGCUCCUAGGUCGAGAACAAGAAAUUUAAUCAAGAAUUCCAUUAAACUCCCUGUGGAUCGACCCUUUUCCACUAUUUUACCCUUUUAUUUAUCCCAACACUACUACUCUAAUCACAAAUCCCACGUUUGAACAAGAGCCAAUGGCGAACCAAACCAUUAGAGAGCUUGUCGCCGCCCCCGCCGUACAACAACCAUUCUACAUUACCUUUCCUCAAGGCACCACCCAUUUUCAACUCAAAACGGGGUUAAUUCAUCUCCUCCCUACACUUAAUGGUCUCUCUAGCGAAAGUCCACAUAAAAAGCUCGCCGAAUUCCAUAUGGUGUGUAGUAGCAUGAAGCCGCAAGGAGUCUCGGAAGACCAAAUCAAACUAAGGCCAUUUCCUUUUUCUUUAGCCGGAAUGGCUAAGGAAUGGUUAUUUUACCUUUCGCCUAACUCAAUAACCACAUGGGCUGAACUAUCUCUUGUUUUCCUUGAUAGGUAUUUUUCAGCGGCAAAGGCGAGCGAGCGAGCUUAGGCUAAGCAUUUUGGGAAUCCAACAAAGGAGCGAAGAAUCUCUCUACGACUACUGGAAGAGGUUCAAAAAGUUAUGCGCAAGUUGCCCGCAGCAUGGUCUAUCUGAGCAGACCCUCCUUCAGUAUCUCUAUGAAGGGAUGCUUCCGAUGGACAAAAAGAUGGUGGAUGUUGCAAGUGGUGGCGGUGCACUCAUCAAUAUGACGCCAGAAAAUGCGAGAACUCUAAUCUCUACUAUGGCCGCAAACUCGUAACAGUUCGGCUCUUCAAGUGAACCUAACCGACGGGUUCACGAAGUAAGUACUGUUUCUUUGGAAAAUAAAAUAGACAAGUUGACUGAUAUUGUCAACUCUCUUGUUACAGGUAAGAUAGGAGCUGCGAAGGUUUGUGGAAUCUGCACGCUGCCGAACCACCCAACCGAUUCAUGUCUAAUUCUACAAGAUGAGACGGGCGCCCAAGUCAAUGCCAUAAAUAAUUUCCGAAGACCUCCUCAAAGGCCAUACAAUCCCUAUGGUAACACUUUUAAUCCUGGUUGUAGAGAUCAACCAAAUAUGAGAUAUGGAAACAAAAACCAAAAUUACUAAUUGAGACCACCUCCCUUUCCAAAUCAAUCACCAUAAAAAACCUCUCUUGAGACCAUUGUUGAAAAGUUGGCCAUUUCACAAGAGAAAUUCCAAACCCAAACACAAUCCUAUCUCCAAGAAAUUGACAAACAAAUAAGCCAACUAGCCCAAACCGUUGGUCGCCUAGAGUCUCAAAGACGAUUGCCCUCUCAAACCUAAACAAAUCUGAAGGAAAAUGUAAGUGCGAUUACUUUACGAAGUGGUACCGUAAUUUCACCAGAGUUGACAAAGGAGCCCGAGGAAAUCGACAAAGACAAAGAAAACACUUCUUUAAAGAGUCAAGAAGAAAAAUCCUCGCCUACCUCAGGUAAAUUCAUUCCUAGUCCUUCUUUUUCUACUUACGAGACUCCUCCUCCCUUUCCAGGAAGGCUUGCAAGGUGUGACAAAAAAGAAUAGGAGAAGGAAAUUUUGGAUAUAUUCAAAAAAGUGGAAAUCAAUAUUCCACUCCUUGAUGUCAUUCGAAAGGUUCCAAAAUAUGCGAAGUUUUUGAAAGACUUAUGCACAAAUCAGAGGCGGUUAUCCGGCAAUGAAAGAGUUAUCCUCAACGAGAAUAUUUCAGCCGUUUUUCAAAGACGCCUACCACCGAAAUACAAGGACCAAGGGAUGUUCGCAAUUCCUUGCAAAAUAGGAAAAGUCAGAAUAAAAAGGGCGAUGUGCGAUCUAGGCGUAUCUAUUAAUGUCAUGCCACUAAGCGUCUACAACAAAAUUUAAACAGAACCAUUAAAAGAGACGUGAGUGAUGGUUCAAUUAGCUGAUCGGUCAGUUAUCUACCCCGAAGGGGUACUAGAAAACGUGUUGGUAAAGGUAAACGAUCUCAUUUUCCUACUGAUUUUACAUUAUUGACAUGGAAAAUGACCGUAGCAACAACGGAUCAGAAAUCUUGCUUGGACGCCCUUUCUUGUCAACAGCACAUACAAAAAUCAAUGUUCGUAACGACAUCUUAACCAUGGAAUUUGAUGGGGAAGUGGUUAAAUUCGAUGUGUGCAAAGCUAUGAAGUAUCCUGAUUCCAUCGCAAGUUUAAAUUUCGUUGACAUUAUAGAUCCGUUAGCCGAUGAUUUUAUCGAAACUGAUUUGUUUUAUGAUUUUUGUAGGGAAUUGGAGGAUCUCGACGAUGAAAGCGAAAUCAUUUCAACUCUUUCCUCCAUUUCUAAUUCUCGAUUAAUUCCAUCUAAACCUUUUCCCUCAAUUUUGCAGGCACCACAACUGGAAUUGAAGCAACUUUCAUCGCAUCUCAAAUACGAAUUUUUGGGUGAUAACCAGACCUUGCCAAUUAUCAUUUCAAGUGAAUUAUCACGACAGGAAGAGGAAGAAUUGAUUGCUUUUUUUGCGCACCUAUAAAAAGGCAAUUGGAUGGACAUUAGCUGAUAUCCAAGGCUUAAGUCCGUCCACUUGCAUGCAUAAAAUUAAAACAGAGGAGAACGCGAAACCAACAAGAGAAGGCCAACGACGUUUAAACCCGCCAAUGAUGAAGGUUGUGAAUGAGGAGAUUAAAAAGUUGCUAGAUGCUGCAUUAUCUACCCCAUUUUCUGAUAGUAAGUGGGAAAGUCCGGUCCAUGUUGUGCCAAAGAAGAUUGGAAUCACGGUGGUCAAAAAUGCCGAAAGAGAAAUGAUUCCAAAGAUAGUACAAAAUGGUUGGAGAAUGUGUAUUGAUUAUAGGAAACUCAACUCACAAACCCGAAAGGACCAUUUUCCUUUACCAUUUAUCGAUCAAAUGAUCGAAAGACUUACCGAAAAAACACAUUACUGUUAUCUUGAUGGAUCUUCUGGAUUUUUUAGGUUCCGAUGGCAUCCGAAGACCAAGAAAAAAUAACAUUUACUUGCCCUUUCGGAACUUUCGCCUAUAGGAGAAUGCCUUUCAAUCUUUGCAACGCUCCGGCCACAUUUCAACGAUGUAUGUUAAGCAUUUUCUCCGAUCACAUCGAGUGAGGAAUAGAGGUAUUUAUGGAUGAUUUUACUGUUUACGGUAAUUCAUUCUCUCAAUGUCUUUCUAAUAUUUCUUAUGUUCUUAAUCAAUGCAUUGAAUUUAAAUUGGUUUUAAACUACGAGAAAUGCCAUUUCAUGGUAAGUAAAGGAUUGGUACUCGGUCAUGUGGUUUCGGCCCAAGAAAUUACUGUUGAUAAGGGAAAGAUUAAUGUAAUUCACUCACUUCCAUACCCCACUUCGGUGAGGGAAAUUCGUAGUUUUCUUGGCCAUGUAGGUUUCUACUGACGGUUCAUAAAGGACUUCUCUAAGUUGGCGCAACCUCUUUGCCAAUUACUACAAAAGGACGUAAAUUUUGUUUUUGAUCAAUCUUGUAAAGAUUUGUUCGAUGAGCUUAAAGGAAGGCUUAUAUCUGCCCCAAUUGUACAACUACCAAAUUGGACUUUACCAUUUCAGAUUAUGUGUGACGCAUCUGACCUUAGCGUGGGAGCCGUUCUCAGCCAAAGGAGUAAAGAAGGACUACACAUGAUAGCCUAUGCCUCUAGGACUCUUGACUCAGCUCAACGCAACUACUCGACAAUGGAAAAAAAGCUUUUUGCUGUCAUUUUUACAUUAGAAAAAUUUCGUUCUUAUUUAUUAGGAACUAAAAUUUUUGUUUUUUCCGAUCAUGCAGCGCUGAAAUACUUGAUGAACAAGAAAGAAGCAAAGCCAUGGUUGAUACGAUAGAUUCUCUUACUGCAGGAGUUCGAUCAUGAAAUCAAGGAUAAAAAGGGAAGCGAAAACUUAGUAGCUGACCAUCUAAGCCGUUUUCCCACUUCACCAGUCGAACCUCCCCUACGAGAAUAAUUUUCGGACGAAACCUUGAUGGAAGCACACGCAUCAUUCCCAUGGUUCACCGAUUUGGUGAAUUUUCUAGCUACGGGUAAAUUUUCGAACAAUCUAUCUCGAUCUGAGAUCAAACGCAUAAAAAAAGAAUCUCGAUUCUAUAUUUGGGACGAUCCAUAUUUAUGGAAAAAUUACUCGGAUCAAAUCGUACGACGAUGCGUAAGUAACAGCAAGGUAAAAUCCAUACUUGAGUUUUGUUAUUCCUACGCUUGCGGUGGACAUUUCGGCCCUAAACGAAUCGCACACAAAAUUCUUGAGUGUGGAUUUUAUUGGCCAACCUUGUUUAAAGACACUUACAACUUUUGCAAAGCCUGUGACAGGUGCUAAAGAGUCGAAAAUCUAAGUCGAAGGAGUGAGAUGCCAUUAAAUCCUAUACACAUCUGUGAAAUUUUCGAUGUGUGGAAGCUCGAUUAUAUGGGGCCAUUUACCUCAUCAUUUGGAAAUUUAUACAUUAUUUUGGCCGUUGAUUACGUUUCGAAAUGGGUAGAGGCGAAAGCCACCCGAGAAAAUGAUGCGAAAGCCACAACUAAUUUUUUACAUGAUUUUAUUUUCUCCAGAUUUGGAAUACCGAGAGCGAUCAUUUGCGACAAAGGAACACAUUUCGUUAACUGAGUCGUCGAAGCUUUGAUGAAGAAAUAUGGCAUGACUCAGCGGAUAGCGACAGCUUAUCAUCCGCAAACCAACGGACAAGUAAAUGUUUCAAAUCGAGAAAUCAAGUCAAUCCUAGAGAAGACAGUUAAACCAAACCGGAAGGAUUGGAGCUUGAGGUUAGUUGAUGCGUUGUGGGAAUAUCACACGGCCUACAAAGGACCUAUCGGGAUGUCACCUUACCGACUUGUUUUCGGCAAACCUUGCCACUUGCCUGUCGAACUCGAGCAUAGGGCGUUUUGGGCGGUGAAGGAAUGUAAUAUGGAGAUGAACGUUAUUGGCGAAACACGGAAACUUCAUAUCCAAGAGCUUGAGGAGAUUCGUCUAAACGCUUACGAUAGCACACAAAAUUAUAAAGAGCGAACAAAAGCAUUUCAUGACAAGCGCAUUUCAUUUAAAUCUUUUUCCGUUGGGCAGAAAGUUCUCCUAUUUAACUCAAAAUUAAAAAUUUUUGCAGGAAAACUUAAGUCCAAGUGGAGCGGACCAUUUACCGUGAUCAAUGUUUUUCCUCAUGGAGCCGUGGAAAUUGAGGAUAGCUCAGGUGCACGAUUUAAAGUUAAUGGACAGCGGCUAAAACCUUUCUUCGAGAGCACACCAAUCGGACUGAUUGAAGAAGUCGAGUUGGAAGAGCCAAAAAUCUGAUAGGAAAAUGUCGAGCUUAACGACUUUAAACAAAGCGCUAAAUUAGAGGCAACCCAUUUGUUUCUUUUUCAUCAAUUUUUAUUUUUAUUUUUUUUGUUCAGACCCCUCCAGGCCCUCGAAGAGAACAUCACAAAAAUACUUUCCUUCCAAUGCCUCAGCCGUGGCCGUCGUCGUCAUUUAUCACGGGGAGUAUCCUUUACCUUUCUUUGUUCUUAAAUGUACUUUACAUUUUUUUUCGUAUUGGGACAAUACGAUUAAGUGAGGGGGUAAAGGAUGACAUUAAUUUCGCCUUGCUUGUCACAUUUUCUUGAUGAUAUGUUUGUUUGAAUUGAUUAGAAGAACAACUCCUUUGCCGUUGUUAGCCGCUAAGCAUGUUAUGAUUAUUUUAGUUCAUAAAGAUACUUGAAUUCUAGCAUGCUUGAUAAUCGAAUAAUAUGAGUAAGUCCAAUUUGACAACCCUUACAAUUUGUCUUGAUGUUGUUAGUUGAAUUCCUCACCUAGCUUAAUUAAUUAGCCCAUUUUGUGAGAACUUGAGCCUUUAGCAUGUAUGACUAUAUUUUUUAUGCUCUUUUUCUUGCUUGAGAGUGUCAAUUUGGACAUUGGAAUCUAGAACUUGUGGCUUGUAUGCAUUUUGAGAUUACAUUGGAAUUUGAUGCAUUAAUAUGAUUUAGGCAUUAGGAUUCACCCUUUCUUUUCCCUUAGUGAACCAAGUUGGAGCCUAAUUUUGUUUUCUUUGUUUUCACUAAGAUUUUAAACCCGAGCCUUUUCAUUUAUUCCUCUCUUCCACCCUUGACAAGAUAAAGAGCAUGAGUUUAAGGUUGUGAGAUCAUGUUCCAAAAAAAGACAAAAAAAGAUAAAAAAGAAAAAAAAGAAAUAAUUCGAAAAAAAGAAAAGAAAGAAAAAAUGAAAGAAAGAAAAAAAAGAAAAGAAAAAAAAAUAGUUUGAUGAUUUGUUCAUUAUAGCUACCUUUGUUUAGUUUGCUUAUUAUUGCUGCCUAUGUUUUCUAAGGUUGUGGACAUGAUUUAGUUACUUGGUGGGAAACUAUUGUCUUGAUUUUCUUUAGCCUCAUUUUAGCCUUAUUCCCCACCUUUACCUAAGCCCCAUUACACCCUUUAUUAAAAGUCCUAAUGAUUUUUGCAUCUCAUUUCUUUAAAGUAGUGGAGAAUUGAUCUUGCCACAAGCCUAUGGAGACCCUUAUUCAAAUUUUGACUUUAAGUGAAUUUGCUUUCUACACCCGAAACUCUUUGCGUGAUUUGAGUGCAUCUUGGUAAUAAUUAAGCUAAGGUUAGAAUUUGAUUGAUAAUUGAUAGAAAAUGGUAAGGUUGAAUGAUUGUUCUUGCUUGCACCUAUUCGUUUUGGUUCAUGCUUUAUUCACGUCAUUUUUUGUGCACUUGAACUCUCAUAAUUUUGUUUAAGACUUGCAAUGGUUUAGGAGAAAGAUGAUAAAGCUUUUGAUUAAUUUAUUUCAAACAUACUUGAGGGCAAGUAUGAGACAAGUGAGGGGGAAUUUGAUGUACUCUUAUAUUUGACACUUUUUGCUUGUUAAUUGCUUUGUCUUAUGAAUUUUCACUACUUAAUUGGUUGCAUUUGAUUUAUUUCUUGUGUAGUGAACCCAAUACUGGAAAUGGCAACAAAAGGACGCAAUAUGCAGUUUUCUUUCUUUUUAUUUUGUCAUGGCUAGAGUCGUAGGCACGACGCUGGGCAUGACACGGAUCUGACGUGGCAAAUCAGAAGUCAACACGGGGAAUAUUCUAGAAACAACUUAUCUUGAUCUAUUGAUGUGAUUUGGGGGAUUUUGGAUUUCAUUUUCAUAAUUUUAAGAUAUUAUCUUAUCUUUUUUUGAUUAGUUUCCUUGUUGAUUUGGGAAUUUGAAGCCUAUAAAUACCCAUAUUUGUUUAAGGCUAAGAGCAUCUCUUGUCUUUGUUCUUAUUGCUACUUUGUUUUCAUUUUUAAUAAAAUUUUCUUCUUUUGUUUUAUUUCUACUUUAUUUUAUUUUAUGUUUUUACAUUAUCAAAACAUGUUAAGCAUGAUAAUCAAUAUCAUGCUUGACUAAUUUUUCUCAAGCCAAGAGCUAGUACGAAUUAAUUCCUCACGUGAAAAUUGAAUAUUGCUUAAAUCCCUUCGGGAUACAUUUUCGUCUUUCUGCUUAGAUAGUUUGGCAAUCGGCCUUACUAAAAUUUUUAAACGUUUUUCAAAUCAAAAAAGAUCCGUUGGUCUGGAAUCGUUUAAUUUUACAGUUGGGAGGAAGGAUCGACCUGUGGCAUUUUGACUUCCUAUGAACACUCUUAGCGGCAGUCCGCUAAGGAAAGAUGAGGUCGGAAACGAUUCUUGAUGAGACAACUUCAGAGUUGGGCUUUUCCUGUUUUAAAACUAAGUAUUUUAACGGCGAUAGAUGUGGUUGAUUUACUUAAGAAUCAACUUUCGAAGAUAAACUUGGGAAGAUUGGUUACUUGAGAGAAAAGCAAGUUACGAUGGGUUGGGCCUCGUAGACUGUAACCGACAUGAAUCCCAGAGCAAAAAUCUAUUUUUGAUGAUCGUGGGAAUUGACGAAACUAGCUCGAGGCGAUUCUUAUACUCGUGUUUAUUCAACUUAAUCUUUCACCUUCUUUAUUUUAUUGCUUCUAUUUUAAUACAUCUUUCUUUGCAAUUUUACUUGUUUAUUUUAUUUUCUUGUUACUUCUCAAAUCACCCUUUUUUUUAUUUUCUAUUUCAGCUCCUAGUUCGAGAACAAGAAAUUUAAUCAAGAAUUCCAUUAAACUCCCUGUGGAUCGACCCUCUUCCACUAUUCUACCUUUUUAUUUAUUUAUUUAUUUUUGAAGAGGUUUAUUUUAUUUUGAUAGGCAAAACGACGCUUGUCAAUCUUGUAGCUCAUGUUCAGACACAAAAUGAUUUAGUUGAAUUGUUUAUCAAAUGCCUCCAACUAAUAACUAAAUCAUUACUUGUGAGAACAAAACUUUCUAUUUCAACAUGAGAUUGGUUAAAGAAAGUUUAUCAUGUUCCAAUACAAUCAUGAUUUAGCUAAAUCAUUACAUGUGCGGUAUAUGUUUCAACUACUUAUCAAUACAAGAAAUUCUUGUUUCGGCAAACUCUUAAAGAGCUUCAAAUACAAGAAAUUGUUUAAAGAGAGAAUUUGAGAUGAAAGAUCUUGGAAAAACAAAGUUUUAUUUUGGAUUACAAAUCGAGCAUUUAAAGAUGAAAUUCAUGUUCAUUAAUCAACUUAUAUGGAAAAGAUAUUAAAAAAUUUUAC